UACAGAGGGUGCGAGCGUUAAUCGGAAUUACUGGGCGUAAAGCGCACGUAGGUGGCGACGUAAGUCGGGUGUGAAAGCCCCGGGCUCAACCUGGGAAUUGCAUUCGAGACUGUGUCGCUGGAGUACGGAAGAGGAAGGCGGAAUUCCCGGUGUAGCGGUGAAAUGCGUAGAUAUCUGGAGGAACACCGGUGGCGAAGGCGGCAUCCUGGACCAUUACUGACACUGAAAAGCGAAAGCCAGGGGAGCAAACGGG
rnacentral:rRNA from 1 species